rnacentral:rRNA from 1 species
CUGGGCGUAAGGAUGCGUAGGCGGAUGUUUAAGUGAGAUGUGAAAUACCCGGGCUUAACUUGGGUGCUGCAUUUCAAACUGGAUAUCUAGAGUGCGGGAGAGGAGAAUGGAAUUCCUAGUGUAGCGGUGAAAUGCGUAGAGAUUAGGAAGAACACCAGUGGCGAAGGCGAUUCUCUGGACCGUAACUGACGCUGAGGCAUGAAAGCGUGGGUAGCAAACAGGAUUAGAUACCCUGGUAGUCCACGCCGUAAACGAUGAGUACUAGGUGUAGGAGGGUCCAACCUUCUGUGCCGCAGUUAACACAAUAAGUACUCCGCCUGGGAAGUACGAUCGCAAGAUUAAAACUCAAAGGAAUUGACGGGGGCCCGCACAAGCAGCGGAGCAUGUGGUUUAAUUCGAAGCAACGCGAAGAACCUUACCUGGACUUGACAUCCCCUGAAUAGCCUAGAGAUAGGUGAAGCCCUUCGGGGCAGGGAGACAGGUGGUGCAUGGUUGUCGUCAGCUCGUGUCGUGAGAUGUUAGGUUAAGUCCUGCAACGAGCGCAACCCCUAUCAUUAGUUGCUACCAUUAAGUUGAGCACUCUAGUGAGACUGCCCGGGUUAACCGGGAGGAAGGUGGGGAUGACGUC